AUUGAACGCUGGCGGCAUGCCUUACACAUGCAAGUCGAACGGUAACAGGUCUUCGGAUGCUGACGAGUGGCGAACGGGUGAGUAAUACAUCGGAACGUGCCUAGUAGUGGGGGAUAACUACUCGAAAGAGUGGCUAAUACCGCAUGAGAUCUACGGAUGGAAGCAGGGGAUCGACAGACCUUGUGCUACUAGAGCGGCCGAUGGCAGAUUAGGUAGUUGGUGGGAUAAAAGCUUACCAAGCCGACGAUCUGUAGCUGGUCUGAGAGGACGAGCAGCCACACUGGGACUGGGACACGGCCCAGACGCCUACGGGAGGCAGCAGUGGGGAAUUUUGGACAAUGGGCGAAAGCCUGAUCCAGCAAUGCCGCGUGCAGGAUGAAGGCCUUCGGGUUGUAAACUGCUUUUGUACGGAACGAAAAGCCCUGGGUUAAUACCCUGGGGUCAUGACGGUACCGUAAGAAUAAGCACCGGCUAACUACGUGCCAGCCGCCGCGGUAAGAC
rnacentral:rRNA from 1 species